UACGUAGGGGGCAAGCGUUGUCCGGAAUUACUGGGCGUAAAGCGUGCGCAGGCGGUGAUGUAAGACAGUUGUGAAAUCCCCGGGCUCAACCUGGGAACUGCAUCUGUGACUGCAUCGCUGGAGUGCGGCAGAGGGGGAUGGAAUUCCGCGUGUAGCAGUGAAAUGCGUAGAUAUGCGGAGGAACACCGAUGGCGAAGGCAAUCCCCUGGGCCUGCACUGACGCUCAUGCACGAAAGCGUGGGGAGCAAACAGG
rnacentral:rRNA from 1 species